UGGGACCAAUGGGCCCUCGACUUGCCCACACAAACAUUGAAGAUGAGCAGAAACCAUAUUUUGCUAAAUCUGGAUUCAGUUAACACCGGUGCAGCUCACCUGGAGGAACUUCCCUCUACUUCCACGAUCCUCAAAUUCUAAUCAAGUAGUCGAACCUGGGAGUAUGACUUCUCAAGAGCAUGAGUGCCGCCAUUUCUGUGAGUUGCAUGCAGAGGUUGAAACCCUAUAUCCUCAGAAUCCAGCCGAGGGCCUGAAACUCACCAUGUGCCCUGGGAUGGGCAGAAACGUGUGCCCCCAAAUUCACAUCCUGAAUCUCAGAACAUGACUGUAUUUGGAGAUGAAGUCUUCACAGAGAGGAGGACACCGUGACCGGGACUGAUUCGGGCACUUCUCCAGGUAACUGAGUGCCCGCAUCAUUCUCUCCUGAGCACCGCCUCUUGCAGACAGCUGCCUUUGUGAGGUAGACUCAAGUGGGUUUCUCAAGGGGGCCUCAAGAUUAGCAUAUCUCCAAGCAAAGCGUUUGUCUCCGCCGCCUGUCACCUCCUGUGUUUCCUGCCACCUUCAGUGGGAUCUCCAGCCAGCCAGCAUUCCUCCAUCGCAGCUUCCUCUCCUCGGGUCCCCAUUACAGCUCAUUCUUCCUGCUACUCUCUCCUCUGGCCUGUCCUACGUCACCCUUCUACCUACGAACGCUACCAGCUGCUCCAGUGCUCUGUGCCUUCUCCGCACAUGGGCCAUUUUCUCUACCUGCUGCUGUACUUCUCCUCGCUCUUUGGUGUAAUUUCUCAGAAUUAGGAGAGCCUUUUUAAACAUGACCCAAGGUCCAGAGCUGUGAGAUUUCCCGAAGAAUCUAGCAGAGUUCCAGUUAUGCCACCUGGCAGGACUGGGACCAGGGCAAGGCCUGCGCCUCAGGUGAAAAAUGUAAGGGGAACCCAAAAUUCAGUCAUCAGGAGAAACAAGUGUUUAAUGCAAUGUUUUAAAAAAUUGAAAUUAAUGCACAAAAAUCCAUGAUGAACAAAAUA